rnacentral:rRNA from 1 species
UACGGAGGGUGCAAGCGUUAUCCGGAUUCACUGGGUUUAAAGGGUGCGUAGGUGGGCAGGUAAGUCAGUGGUGAAAUCUCCGGGCUUAACUCGGAAACUGCCAUUGAUACUAUCUUUCUUGAAUACCGUGGAGGUCAGCGGAAUAUGUCAUGUAGCGGUGAAAUGCUUAGAUAUGACAUAGAACACCCAUUGCGAAGGCAGCUAACUACGCGAUAAUUGACGCUGAUGCACGAAAGCCGUGGGGAUCAAACAGG